UACGUAGGGGGCAAGCGUUGUCCGGAAUCAUUGGGCGUAAAGCGCGUGUAGGCGGCCCGGUAAGUCCGCUGUGAAAGUCCAGGGCUCAACCCUGGGAUGCCGGUGGAUACUGUCGGGCUCGAGUCCGGAAGAGGCGAGUGGAAUUCCUGGUGUAGCGGUGAAAUGCGCAGAUAAUCAGGAGGAACACCAAUGGCGAAGGCAGCUCGCUGGGACGUGACUGACGCUGAGACGCGAAAGCGUGGGGAGCAAACAGG
rnacentral:rRNA from 1 species